rnacentral:lncRNA from 1 species
UAUGAUUUAAUGACUCCAUUCCACGAAGAAUUCUAAGGUAAGAGGUAUAUAGGUUAUAUUCAAAUUACUUACUCUUUAAACCUUAGAUGUGUGAUUUCAAAUACUAUUUUUCUUGCCUAGUUUACAUGGAACUCAUCUCUAAUCUGUGGCCCCCCUGGUGUUGAGAAAGUUAAGGGUUCGUUCUCUGAGUCACCUCUUAGAGUCCAGCUAGACCCAGUUCCAGACUCUUGAUAAUACUCUAAAAC